AGAUCCGAAAUGUGCGUCAACGCAGAUAGAUGCUGUCAUUUUUAAGACAGGAACCAUUUGAACAUGAACUCUUCCUGGGCUGAGUUCGGAUCACGAAGGAACAUCUAAGGGUCUUCAUCAAUCAAAUCUUUUGCGUUAAUUUCCGUGCAGCACAUCGAGAUCUUCUCCUUUGUCCUGCUGCUGAUGCGCUGUUUCCCUUCGAUUCCUCUGCCUCUGCUUCUCGUGUUCUGGUGCUCUGCAUCCCUUUGCUCGUGCUAUAUGCUAUGCUCGGCUGAGCUAAAGGUUAUCUAUAUAUAUUACUAGCUAGAUUGAGAGGCCAUGCAUUCAUCUGCUCAGUUGGCUCUCUCUUUGAUUACAUCAAACCCCAUCUCCGUAGGAUCGGUUGCCUGCACCUCAUAGUGGAUCCCAUCAAGCAGCCUCCUCAGCCCUUGCUUUGAGGUAGCAUACAGUAUCUUUGAUCUGAUCCUUGAUGCUGCUGGAGACC
rnacentral:lncRNA from 1 species